UACGUAGGCAGCAAGCGUUGUUCGGAGUUACUGGGCGUAAAGGGUGUGUAGGCGGUUCUCUAAGUCUGGUGUGAAAUCUCCCGGCUCAACUGGGAGGGUGCGCCGGAAACUGGAGAGCUAGAGUACUGGAUGGGAGAGUGGAAUUCCUGGUGUAGCGGUGAAAUGCGUAGAUAUCAGGAGGAACACCUGUGGUGUAGACGGCUCUCUGGACAGUAACUGACGCUGAGACACGAAAGCGUGGGGAGCGAACAGG
rnacentral:rRNA from 1 species